GAGACUCUGUGCGCGUGCAUAUCAAUAAGCGGAGGAAAAGAAACUAACAAGGAUUCCCCUAGUAACGGCGAGUGAAGCGGGAAGAGCUCAAAUUUGAAAUCUUAAAGGGUUUCCCUUUACGAAUUGUAGUUUAAAGAAGUGUUUUCUGUUGGAGUUUCGGUAAAAGUUCUUUGGAAUAGGACAUCAUAGAGGGUGAGAAUCCCGUAUUUGACCGUUACUUUCCAGCUGUGUGAUACACUUUCAAAGAGUCGGAUUGUUUGGGAAUGCAGUCCAAGAUGGGUGGUAAAUUUCAUCUAUAGCUAAAUAUUGGCGAGAGACCGAUAGCGAACAAGUACCGUGAGGGAAAGAUGAAAAGAACUUUGAAAAGAGAGUUAAACAGUAUCGUGAAAUUGUCAAAAGGGAAGCGUUUGACACCAGUGUUGUUUAGUCGAAAAUCAAUUAAAAAUGGCCGGAUUUUGUGUUGUAUUGACUUUAUCAGCUUUCUGCACUUUUUUCUUGUCUUUUUUAAUGCACUUUUCGUUUAACAAGUCAACAUCAAUUUCUUUGUUGUAAAAGAGUCAUUGGAAGGUGGCUUUCAUUUCGGUGAAAGUGUUUAUAGCCUUUGACUUCUGCAAUCGGAGAGAUUGAGGUCUGCAGCGUAGAUCCUUCGGGGUUAGAUACAUUGGUGCUAAGCUAUAGCCUUGUAUAGACAACUUGUUGACUAUGCUCAGUCAUGUAGCUUACUCGCUGAUGCUAUUUUACCUACGCUUAGGAUGUUGACAGCAGUAUAGACUGU
rnacentral:rRNA from 1 species